rnacentral:lncRNA from 10 species
UAGGCAUCAGCUAUCAAAACUUAUGUGUAUAUUCAAUAUUAAACCUAGCUGAGAACUCAAAUCUUAAACAUCGAUGUGCUUGUCUGAACAGAAGGUUAUACAGAGGAAUUCCUCAUGUUGAUGUUUAGUGCAGAUUGAUAUGACUGUGUUACUGUUUUUUAGGGAAAUGGAAUUGAAGACAACUACUUCUAGAAUUGGUGCAUGGAAGCUUCUCAUAGGUGAUUAGCCACACUCUUCUUCUGUCAACCUGGUGCAGAAAAGCUUGAAGACCUUGGAAAUCACAUAUUGAUGAUGGAGGAGAUACAAGAAUGAAGGACCCUGGGUUCCUGAAUCAACACUCUAAGAAGAGACUCCUUGAAAUCAAGAGCACUCAUUUUGACAUUGCAAACGGAAAAAUUCACUUCUAUCAGGUUUGAACCAAUAUAUAGUUUAGGGUUUUUAAAAAAUAACUGUUAGCAUGACUUUAACUAAUACACAUGCCAUACAGGAUCAGACCUCUGUGACUUUGCUUUUACAGUCUGCUCUGUCUGGAGGGGAGUUUCAUCUUUGCCAUCCUUAAUGAUAUAGCAUAGACGCUAUGUCCUCCAGAAACUUCCUUGGCACCCACAUUUUUGGAUGGAAGCUUCUUGUCAUUUCCAUGGAAAGUAAGCUUAAUCUUGUCAAUGUGGUUCAACAUCAAAUUUGAAUUAUGUUCACCUAUCUUGUUUCCAACCUUCCCAACUAAAAUUUAAAUUUCAUAAAGGACUGAAAGCAAUCAUUUUGUAUCUCCAGCCAGGAACACAAUGCCAAGCUUGGCUCCUCCAAACUUGGCAUUGUGUUCCUGGCUGGAGAUACAAAAUGAUUGCAAUAAGAUUGCAAUAAAUGCUUAUUGGACGGACCUCAA